rnacentral:rRNA from 1 species
ACACCGGCAGCUCUAGUGGUAGCUGUUUUUAUUGGGCCUAAAGCGUUCGUAGCCGGUUUGGUAAGUCACUGGUGAAAUCCUGUAGCUUAACUAUGGGAAUUGCUGGUGAUACUGUUGAACUUGAGGUCGGGAGAGGUUAGCGGUACUCCCAGGGUAGAGGUGAACUUCUGUAAUCCUGGGAGGACCACCUGUGGCGAAGGCGGCUACUUGGAACGAACCUGACGGUGAGGGGCGAAAGCUAGGGGCGCGCACCGGAUUAGAUACCCGGGUAGUCCUAGCCGUAAACGAUGCGGACUUGGUGUUGGGAUGGCUUUGAGCCGCUCCGGUGCCGAAGGGAAGCUGUUAAGUCCGCCGCCUGGGAAGUACGGUCGCAAGACUGAAACUUAAAGGAAUUGGCGGGG